rnacentral:rRNA from 1 species
CGCAUCUGUGCAUGCAGCAUAUCAAUAAGCGGAGGAAAAGAAACUAACAAGGAUUCCCCUAGUAACGGCGAGUGAAGCGGGAAGAGCUCAAAUUUGAAAUCUUAAAGGGUUUCCCUUUACGAAUUGUAGUUUAAAGAAGUGUUUUCUGUUGAGGUUUUGGUAAAAGUUCUUUGGAAUAGGACAUCAUAGAGGGUGAGAAUCCCGUAUUUGACCUUUACUUUCAACUUUGUGAUACACUUUCAAAGAGUCGGAUUGUUUGGGAAUGCAGUCCAAAAUGGGUGGUAAAUUUCAUCUAAAGCUAAAUAUUGGCGAGAGACCGAUAGCGAACAAGUACCGUGAGGGAAAGAUGAAAAGAACUUUGAAAAGAGAGUUAAACAGUACGUGAAAUUGUCAAAAGGGAAGCGUUUGACACCAGUGUUGUUUUUCUGAAAAUCAAUUAAAGAACUGUUUAUGCUAAGCUGUUUAGACUUUAUCAGCUAAUCUGUUUAGUUUUGAGCUUUUCUUUAAUGCAGCUUUUCAGUUAACAAGUCAACAUCAAUUUCUUUUGCUGUAAAAAAGCUUGAGGAAGGUGGCUUGAGAUUCGUCUUAAGUGUUUAUAGCCUCUUGCCUAUGCAGUCGGAGAGAUUGAGGUCUGCAGCGUAGAUCCUUCGGGGCUAAAUGCAUUUGUGCUAAGUUAUAGCAUUUUAUAGACAACUUGUUGACUAUGAUUUGUCUUGUAGCUUACUCGCUUAUGUUAUUUUACCUACGCUUAGGAUGUUGAAUCUGUGCGAGACUAC